AGCUUAGCUUAGUUAGUAAAGCACUUGUCUAGAGUAUAAAAGUCGUGAGUUCAAAUCUCAUCUGAGCUG
rnacentral:tRNA from 1 species